rnacentral:rRNA from 1 species
UGGGGAAUUUUGGACAAUGGGGGAAACCCUGAUCCAGCCAUCCCGCGUGUGCGAUGAAGGCCUUCGGGUUGUAAAGCACUUUUGGCAGGAAAGAAACGUCAUGGGUUAAUACCCCGUGAAACUGACGGUACCUGCAGAAUAAGCACCGGCUAACUACGUGCCAGCAGCCGCGGUAAUACGUAGGGUGCAAGCGUUAAUCGGAAGUACUGGGCGUAAAGCGUGCGCAGGCGGUUCGGAAAGAAAGAUGUGAAAUCCCAGAGCUCAACUUUGGAACUGCAUUUUUAACUACCGGGCUAGAGUGUGUCAGAGGGAGGUGGAAUUCCGCGUGUAGCAGUGAAAUGCGUAGAUAUGCGGAGGAACACCGAUGGCGAAGGCAGCCUCCUGGGAUAACACUGACGCUCAUGCACGAAAGCGUGGGGAGCAAACAGG